AGAAAAUCUACACAUCCAGUUUAUUGACCGUGAAUUCCAAAAAGAAGUGUAAAGCUAGGGGUAAUACGUUGGAAU